rnacentral:rRNA from 1 species
AUAACAGUUGGAAACGGCUGCUAAUACCGCAUAAGCGCACGGCAUCGCAUGAUGCAGUGUGAAAAACUCCGGUGGUAUAAGAUGGACCCGCGUUGGAUUAGCUAGUUGGUGAGGUAACGGCCCACCAAGGCGACGAUCCAUAGCCGACCUGAGAGGGUGACCGGCCACAUUGGGACUGAGACACGGCCCAAACUCCUACGGGAGGCAGCAGUGGGGAAUAUUGCACAAUGGGCGAAAGCCUGAUGCAGCGACGCCGCGUGAGCGAAGAAGUAUUUCGGUAUGUAAAGCUCUAUCAGCAGGGAAGAUAAUGACGGUACCUGACUAAGAAGCACCGGCUAAAUACGUGCCAGCAGCCGCGGUAAUACGUAUGGUGCAAGCGUUAUCCGGAUUUACUGGGUGUAAAGGGAGCGCAGGCGGUGCGGCAAGUCUGAUGUGAAAGCCCGGGGCUCAACCCCGGUACUGCAUUGGAAACUGUCGUACUAGAGUGUCGGAGGGGUAAGCGGAAUUCCUAGUGUAGCGGUGAAAUGCGUAGAUAUUAGGAGGAACACCAGUGGCGAAGGCGGCUUACUGGACGAUAACUGACGCUGAGGCUCGAAAGCGUGGGGAGCAAACAGGAUUAGAUACCCUGGUAGUCCACGCCGUAAAC